rnacentral:rRNA from 1 species
AUUGAACGCUGGCGGCAGGCUUAACACAUGCAAGUCGAGCGGAGAGAGGUAGCUUGCUACUGAUCUUAGCGGCGGACGGGUGAGUAAUGCUUAGGAAUCUGCCUAUUAGUGGGGGACAACAUUUCGAAAGGAAUGCUAAUACCGCAUACGUCCUACGGGAGAAAGCAGGGGAUCUUCGGACCUUGCGCUAAUAGAUGAGCCUAAGUCGGAUUAGCUAGUUGGUGGGGUAAAGGCCUACCAAGGCGACGAUCUGUAGCGGGUCUGGGAGGAUGAUCCGCCACACUGGGACUGAGACACGGCCCAGACUCCUACGGGAGGCAGCAGUGGGGAAUAUUGGACAAUGGGCGCAAGCCUGAUCCAGCCAUGCCGCGUGUGUGAAGAAGGCCUUAUGGUUGUAAAGCACUUUAAGCGAGGAGGAGGCUACUUUAGAUAAUACCUAGAGAUAGUGGACGUUACUCGCAGAAUAAGCACCGGCUAACUCUGUGCCAGCCGCCGCGGUAAGAC